GCAGUUUGCAGUUAUGAUGAAAGUUAAAAUGUAAGCGCAAACUGAAAUAUGAUGUUCGUACGAUAAAACUGAUUUACGUCUAAACGUCGAUUCGGAAAAUACUGAACUUUAAAACACGAUCGUAAAUGUGCAGAAGGCAGUAAGCUAUUGAGGAGGUUUGUAGUAAGGAUAAGAUGCUCAAAGUAAAUGCAAACCGAGAUUUAGAGUGGUUCGGUCAAUCUUGACCUACAUCCACUUUUGGCUU
rnacentral:lncRNA from 1 species